rnacentral:rRNA from 1 species
UACGUAGGGGGCAAGCGUUGUCCGGAUUUAUUGGGCGUAAAGAGCGUGUAGGCGGCCAAGUAGGUCCGUUGUGAAAACUCGAGGCUCAACCUCGAGACGCCGAUGGAAACCAUUUGGCUCGAGUCCGGAAGAGGAGAGUGGAAUUCCUGGUGUAGCGGUGAAAUGCGCAGAUAUCAGGAAGAACACCCGUGGCUAAGGCGGCUCUCUAGUACGGUACUGACGCUGAGACGCGAAAGCGUGGGGAGCGAACAGG